rnacentral:siRNA from 1 species
GAACCAACAAACUGCAACAUUGAA